rnacentral:rRNA from 1 species
AAUGGACGAAAGUCUGAACCAGCCAUGCCGCGUGGAGGAUGAAGGUCCUCUGGAUUGUAAACUUCUUUUAUAUGGGACGAAAAAAGGCCUUUCUAGGUCGUCUGACGGUACCAUAUGAAUAAGCACCGGCUAACUCCGUGCCAGCAGCCGCGGUAAUACGGAGGGUGCAAGCGUUAUCCGGAUUCACUGGGUUUAAAGGGUGCGUAGGUGGGUUGGUAAGUCAGUGGUGAAAUCCCCGAGCUUAACUUGGGAACUGCCAUUGAUACUAUCAGUCUUGAAUACCGUGGAGGUCAGCGGAAUAUGUCAUGUAGCGGUGAAAUGCUUAGAUAUGACAUAGAACACCAAUUGCGAAGGCAGCUGGCUACCCGAAUAUUGACACUGAGGCACGAAAGCGUGGGGAUCAAA